CAUUUCUCACUUAGUGACAGAAAUUUUGGGCUCAAUUGUGGUCGUGAGUCAAGGACUAUCUGUAGUUGAUUGAUUGGAGAGUGCGGGCUCCUGCAUGAGGCAAUCUACAUUGUGAUUGGUUGUCGGGUGAGAAGAGGGAGUUUCCCUUUUUCCCCGCCUUUUUUCUUCUGUCUGCUCUGAGAUUUACCUGAGAAUUUACCUCAGGAUGCAGUGAUGUGCCUAACUAUCUUGUUUGCUGUAUAUAGAGAUCAGGGGUGGGUUUCAAAAAUUGUUGGAUGGGUGUGGCCUCCUUUGUGGGAGUGGCUUGCCACCCAUGUGACCGGAUGGGAGUGGCUUGACACUCAUGUGACCGGGUGGGAAGAAGCUGACAUUUGUGAGAAGGUGGGAAAGCAUCCACUGAUCUUGGCAGUGACAAAUGGCUGGACUCACAGAUUAUUUUUCAGGGAGACACUAACCAGCAUUCUCCACUAUCAUGGGAUCAAAAUUUGGACACUUGGCAACCAACACACAUUUUACAAGUGUUGCAAUGUCCGGCUGUCAUCUAAUCAUCAUUUGUGACCUGCCCAGCUGGCUUCUGGCAAGCCAAGUCAACAGAGAAGUCAGAUUCAUUUAACAACCGGGUGACUAACUUAACAACUGCAGAGAUUCACUUAACAACUGUGGCAAGAAAGGUCUCAAAAUCGGGCAAAACUCGCUUAACAACUACGUGGGAACAGACGUUUUGGGUUCGAUUGUGCUUGUAAGUUGAGCACUACCUGUAUUGCAUUGGUGCAAGCCCCUUCAACAUUGUUGGGCCUCCUUUUAGAAGACAUGGAUCUCUUCUCGCACCUGAAUCUUUCUAUUAAUCAAUAAUAGGAUUGAAAGUUAUAUGGAGAUCAUUUCUACAAGAGCAUGCAAGGCGAGGAAUAAUAAAGACAGUUCAAUCUUCGUUUCAGGUAAAGGUUCCCCUCGUACAUAUGUGCUAGUCGUUCCUGACUCUAAGGGGCGGUGCUCAUCUCCGUUU